AAAAAUGGCUUCUGUAGUGAGAGGCACACGUAGGGCAUCUUGAUUGUUCUACGUGGGAACUGACAUCAACAGAUUUUGGAAGCAUAAUUUUUUGGUACCUGGGCUGCUACUGAUUGUUGGUCCUGGCAACUGC